GACGAACGCUGGCGGCGUGCCUAAUACAUGCAAGUAGAACGCACAGUUUAUACCGUAGCUUGCUACACCAUAGACUGUGAGUUGCGAACGGGUGAGUAACGCGUAGGUAACCUGCCUGGUAGCGGGGGAUAACUAUUGGAAACGAUAGCUAAUACCGCAUAAUAUUGAUUAUUGCAUGAUAAUUGAUUGAAAGAUGCUAUUGCAUCACUACCAGAUGGACCUGCGUUGUAUUAGCUAGUAGGUGAGGUAACGGCUCACCUAGGCGACGAUACAUAGCCGACCGGAGAGGGUGAUCGGCCAAACGGGGACUGAGACACGGCCCAGACUCAUACGGGAGGCAGCAGUAGGGAAUCUUCGGCAAUGGACGAAAGUCUGACCGAGCAACGCCGCGUGAGGGAAGAAGGUUUUCGGAUCGUAAAGCUCUGUUGUAAGAGAAGAACGGGUGUGAGAGUGGAAAGUUCACACUGUGACGGUAUCUUACCAGAAAGGGACGGCUAACUACGUG
rnacentral:rRNA from 1 species